rnacentral:rRNA from 1 species
UACGAGGGGGGCGAGCGCUUUUCGGAAUUAUUGGGCGUAAAGGGUGCGUAGGCGGUUUGGUCAGUCUGAUGUGAAAUCUAUGGGCUCAACUCAUAGACUGCAUGAGAAACUGCCGGGCUUGAGUAUGGGAGAGGUGAGUGGAAUUCCUGGUGUAGCGGUGAAAUGCGUAGAUAUCAGGAGGAACACCUGUGGCGAAAGCGGCUCUCUGGAACGCAACUGACGCUGAGACGCGAAAGCGUGGGGAGCAAACAGG